GCAAAGGACUACAUGUUAGAGUUCUCUUUGGAAUACUAUAAAUGUGCUGGAGAAAGGCCUGGAGACAGAGCCGUACCAGUUUGGGGCAACAUGUCACCCUGUCUGGCUGGACUUGGCACCUGCUGCUGGAAGGUUCCUCUCAUGCCUGCCAACCAGUGUCCUGAGCAAGAGAUUGCCACUGAAGAAGACGAUACAGUCGAAACGCGUUUGGCAACCAUACAGGAGAGAUCGGAUGCUGUCAAGAUCACGAUACGAUGCUUCAUCUUCCAACUAAAGCACAAUACUGGGAACGUUUAUGCACACUUCCCCCAUUUAAUUGGCGGUUUUGAAUAUGAACUAUUGGAUUUAAUAUGAAGAGUCCCUCAAUGGCCAUUUUGUAUUGGUUUUACUGAGAUUUAUAGUUAUAUUUUAAAUGAUCCAAUUCUAUAAUUUUUGUAUAGUUGUACAGUGUUUUUAAAUCAUACAGUUUCAUCACUAUAAUAUUAAAAUCACUAUGAUAUUAAAA